AUGAAGCCCGUGUGGAAGGACCAUCGUCCUCUCAGCAGUGUCCUGCUGCUGGUGCUUACCAGUGGAGGAAGUGCUACCGAUCUCAUUAGCCACCAGGACGUCCAGAAGCAAAGCCGGAGGCUCCACAGAAACGUCAGCGGCAACAUGCGAGGGCAGUGCAGCCAGCUCCACGACAGGUCCAGACAGGGAAGCUUUAGGAGCACGGGUACUACUUACUGUGGACGAGGGUUGGUCAAGGAAGGCUUUCUGGAGGAGGUGACAGCUAGGCUGGGUCUUAAGGAUGAAUGGGAAGAGAGAGGAGAACAUGUGGAUAAGGCCAGGCAGAAGGGCUACACAGCCAAGUCACAGCCAAGACGAAAUGCGGGGAGAGUUCUGGAAGCUGCGUGUUUGGUGCUGCUGGGUAGUGUGGAAGGACAGGCUGGAGCUAGGUAGCUAAGCAGCUUGGCAAAUGGAGCUACUGAGGAUUCCAAACAGGACCUCUGCAGUCAUCUCCACUGCUUAUGGGUUGAACCACGUGAAAUAGACAAUAUUCGGCCAUUUAGGGCCAAGACAAAUGCCAGCUUUGCAGGGUGCAGCCUCACAGAGAGGCUGCUUGGGGGCCUUUGCAGAGGGUGGAUGAGCAGAGGGCAUCCUCCGGAACCUGCUUGGGGACCCGGCUCUGAGGCCGUCGGGCCAGUGGUGUCCAGAUUCUCGUGUAGGCUGGGAGAAAGGGGAGGUUCAAGAAACACGGAGGAAGUGAAGCGGCAGAGCCGGGGGGAUGGGGUGCCACAGAGGAGAAGGAGCACUGAGGCUGAGGUCCAGGCUUGCAGACACGUGGACCAUGAGUAUCCUGCCAGGUCUGUGGGUGUCUCUUCUGAGCUACACCAGUUUCCAGGUUACCUGGGACCAUGGAUAACUCUCAGAUCAGCAACUUGUCAGUUGAUUUCCAAGCUGCUGUUGGCUGGACUCAGACUCAGCAGGGAGCACCUGGGCGAGCCCUGCGCUGCGGGCUGGACUCCGGCCCAUCUCGCUGAUUACUCUUGCUUUUGCUCCCCAGUGUGUCCUCAAGAGGCCAGAGCCUGCUUGUUGUUUCUUCAUGACCAGGGGAGGAGGGGCACCAACAUGAGGGUGCUAGCAUCUCCCCAGUGGUGGCUUCCCAGGGCUGGGGAAACCCUGGGGGAGGGGUUGGGACAGGGACCUCUGUCGCUUGCUGCCACUGCCUGGGUCAACUGCCUGGCAGGGCUGGCCGCUCGUGCUCAGAAGGCUGGGGCCUUACCUGCCUUCUCCUCUUACCCAGCGCCCAUGCAAGGACACAUCUGA